GCGGUCCGAACCGUCUGGUAUCCGCAAGGUUAGCUGCGAAACCUCGAGAGUCAGCAGGGUGCGCAGCGCGAAAGCUAGCAGCCCGCAGCCUGCGGGUUCACGUAGAGACAGGCUACGGUUACCCGGUAUUUUUCUCUCUUGUGUUUUAUUAACAGUCCAAGUUGCGGUUUCCAGUACUUGGCAAGUGGAUACACGAUUCGCUUUUCACGUUAUCUCUUUCUUUGGGGUGCGAUUUGGUGGUUCCUGUUGGCCACUUCCGUCCUUCCUUAUCGCUGUGCAACAGUCUGGCUUCAAACUCAAGCUCCGUCUCCUGUGUGCCGGCCUGACAAGAAUGAACCAGUUUUUCUGAACAUCAGAGAUCCGGGGGAUGCCCCUGGCUGGCUACAGAAUCAACUUAGAGCCAGUGGUGUGUGAGACCACAGGGCAGCAGCUACAUACAGAGUAGGAAAACGGUGCCCUCAAUCUUAGAGAGGGAGGGAGGGGGGCUCCUAAAGUCGGAACUGGAGGGGCUGGAGAGAUGGCUCAGCUGUUAAGAGCACUGGCUGCUCUUCCAGAGGAUCCAGGUUCAAUUCCCAGCACCCACAUGGCAGCUCAUGACCAUCUGUAACUCCAGUUCCAGGGGAUUCGACAACCUCCCACAGACAUACAUGCAAGCAAAACACCAGUGCACAUUAAAUAAAACAUUUAAAGUGGUGAUUGGACCCGUGUCCUCUGGAAGAGCAGACAGUGCUCUUAACCACUGAGCCAUCUUUCCAGACCCCUCCCCCCCUUAUAGCCAUUAGUGGUCUACUACCCAUUUCUCCAACUCCCUUAGCAUCAGGCAACCACUAGCAUUCUUUGUUCCUGUGGACUGUGUUUAUGACCAAAUUAAGAGCCCCCUUAAUUAUACUCACUGCCCCUGAGGAGCACCCGUCAUCCCGAGCUUCAUACCAUUUGGCUUUGACAGUUCAUUUGUGCAGAGACAGAAGGGAGAGCUUGCUGUCCCACCCAUGGACAGCUGCAAUCCCAGGCCUGGGCAGGGCCACUGAAGCUCUGAGUCCUGCUAGUCCAUGCCAGGCUGGUGCCUGGUAGUCUAACUGCAGAAAGCCCCCAAAGCAGUCUCGGUGCCUUUCCUUCCACUCCAUGUCUUUCUGUACUCUCCAAGUCCCUUAACACUAAAUAAUUCAAACAAUAAGCCUUCUCGGUGCUGACUGGUGCCUGGCUUCAUGUCAAGCAAACUCUCUGAAGUAAAUAAAUAAAUAAAAAUUAUCUUACUAUGUAGUCCUAGCCAGUCUCAAACUCACAAGAGAUCUCCCUGCCCCUGCCCCCUCAGGGCUGGAUCAAAGGCAUGCACACACCGUGCCACGCAGAAGUGAAAGUUUAAAUCAUUUAAUUGUAUGGGCUGAGUGUUUUACCUGCUUAUAUGUAAGUGUAUAUGUGCCAGCCUGGUGCCCUCAGAGGUCUGAACGUGACAUUGAAUGCCCUGGAACUGGAAUUUUAGGUGAUUGUGAACCCCCGGGUGGUGCUGGGGAUCAAUCUGGGUCCUCCAAAAAAGCAACACGCGUCCAUCUCUCCCGCUCCGUAAAUAUUUUAGUUCAUUUCUAUACGUGUGGAUGUUUUGCCUGCAUGCAAGGCACCUAGUGUGUGCCUGGUGCUUAGGGAGGCUAGAAGAGGGCAUCAGAUCCCCUGGCACUGGAGUUACAGAUGGUUGCGAGAUGCCAUGUGGGUGCUGGGAAUUAAACCCAAGUCCUCUGGAAGAGCAGCUGGUGCUCUAAACCACUGAGCCAUGUCUCUAGCAUUUGAAGUAAAGAGUGUAUUUUACAGAUUUA